rnacentral:rRNA from 1 species
UACGUAGGGGGCAAGCGUUGUCCGGAUUUAUUGGGCGUAAAGGGCGUGUAGGCGGCCACCGCAAGUCGGUUGUGAAAUCUCCGGGCUUAACCCGGAAAGGUCAACCGAUACUGCGGGGCUAGAGUGCAGAAGGGGCAACUGGAAUUCUCGGUGUAGCGGUGAAAUGCGUAGAUAUCGAGAGGAACACCUGCGGCGAAGGCGGGUUGCUGGGCUGACACUGACGCUGAAACGCGAAAGCUAGGGGAGCGAACGGG